UUUAUGGAGAGUUUGAUCCUGGCUCAGGAUGAACGCUGGCGGCGUGCCUAAUACAUGCAAGUCGAGCGAACGGACGAGAAGCUUGCUUCUCUGAUGUUAGCGGCGGACGGGUGAGUAACACGUGGAUAACCUACCUAUAAGACUGGGAUAACUUCGGGAAACCGGAGCUAAUACCGGAUAAUAUUUUGAACCGCAUGGUUCAAAAGUAAAAGACGGUCUUGCUGUCACUUAUAGAUGGAUCCGCGCUGCAUUAGCUAGUUGGUAAGGUAACGGCUUACCAAGGCAACGAUGCAUAGCCGACCUGAGAGGGUGAUCGGCCACACUGGAACUGAGACACGGUCCAGACUCCUACGGGAGGCAGCAGUAGGGAAUCUUCCGCAAUGGGCGAAAGCCUGACGGAGCAACGCCGCGUGAGUGAUGAAGGUCUUCGGAUCGUAAAACUCUGUUAUUAGGGAAGAACAUAUGUGUAAGUAACUGUGCACAUCUUGACGGUACCUAAUCAGAAAGCCACGGCUAACUACGUGCCAGCAGCCGCGGUAAUACGUAGGUGGCAAGCGUUAUCCGGAAUUAUUGGGCGUAAAGCGCGCGUAGGCGGUUUUUUAAGUCUGAUGUGAAAGCCCACGGCUCAACCGUGGAGGGUCAUUGGAAACUGGAAAACUUGAGUGCAGAAGAGGAAAGUGGAAUUCCAUGUGUAGCGGUGAAAUGCGCAGAGAUAUGGAGGAACACCAGUGGCGAAGGCGACUUUCUGGUCUGUAACUGACGCUGAUGUGCGAAAGCGUGGGGAUCAAACAGGAUUAGAUACCCUGGUAGUCCACGCCGUAAACGAUGAGUGCUAAGUGUUAGGGGGUUUCCGCCCCUUAGUGCUGCAGCUAACGCAUUAAGCACUCCGCCUGGGGAGUACGACCGCAAGGUUGAAACUCAAAGGAAUUGACGGGGACCCGCACAAGCGGUGGAGCAUGUGGUUUAAUUCGAAGCAACGCGAAGAACCUUACCAAAUCUUGACAUCCUUUGACAACUCUAGAGAUAGAGCCUUCCCCUUCGGGGGACAAAGUGACAGGUGGUGCAUGGUUGUCGUCAGCUCGUGUCGUGAGAUGUUGGGUUAAGUCCCGCAACGAGCGCAACCCUUAAGCUUAGUUGCCAUCAUUAAGUUGGGCACUCUAAGUUGACUGCCGGUGACAAACCGGAGGAAGGUGGGGAUGACGUCAAAUCAUCAUGCCCCUUAUGAUUUGGGCUACACACGUGCUACAAUGGACAAUACAAAGGGCAGCG
rnacentral:rRNA from 1 species